GUCCCCAUAUUCUUCAUUGUGAGUAUAUGGUUACUUCACUCACCAUCUCUCUUAAUCUUGCUCUACCAUUGUCUCAACCACCAUCACCACCAUCAUCUCUUGGCCAAUAUGAUAAUUUGAUCAAAGUACUUUAUUCUCCAACAUUGCCACCAAUGUUUAUUAUCACCUCUCUCCCAAAUUUUAAUACAUCAUCAAACCAUUUUUAGCUAACCCCUCAAAUACUCAACCUUGGUCGACAUUCAUGAAGUGGCAUUGCACUUUGUUUGUUCACUUGUGGUUGUCAAGAAGGAGCCGGCCAUGGCAAGAAAAUUCGGCCAGCCCUCCCUCCUCAUUUCCUUCUCUUCCAAGCCUUGCCUCCCAACUACCCCAAUCACUAAAUGGGCAGCCACCCAACUUGGCCAAUCAAAUAAGGAGGCAGCCACCCCUCUCCCUCUAUAAAUUGGCCCUUGGCCGGCCACUCCCUCCUCCUUUGGUCAUUUUUCUCACACUCCACUCCCUCACACUCUCCUCUACCUCUCCCCCACGAAAAUGCUGCUGCCCCUUGCUCCCAUGGCCGGCCAUGGCCAUGGAAGGCACUCCAAGAUGAAGCUCCCUCCUCCCUCAAGCUCCUCCUCACCAUGAGAGCCUCCCUCUCCUUCUUCUCCCCAACCCUAGAAGGUUUUCUCUCCUCUUCCUCUUCCUCCAUUGCUAAGAUUGGAUCUUGAUGCAGGUGCAUGUUGGUCCAAGCAUGGAGAAGCUUGAGCUAUCCUCAGAUCUGAAGUUCUUGAGCAAAAUCCAAAUCGAGUGAUUCAAAGUUCCGCAGAUAGAUACGGAAAAGAUCUACAUCUUGGAGUUGGUCUCAUCCUCAAAUUCGUUACGGAUUGUCCGUGGUGAAAGCCCUCUUCAAUACCUUCAUUUUGGCGGUGGUUUCACUUCGAUUGACCUCCUGAAACUGAAAUGGUUCACAGGUCAAGAUCUGGUCAGAUCUGACUUUGUCGAAUUAAACCAGGAGCUUGGGAACGAAUUUUUGAAUGAAACCAAUUGGGGGAUGUUGGGUUAUACCAUGGUGAUAACCGAGAGAGGCAAUUGCUAAGUUGUGAUACUCUCAUACCUUUACUAGACGCGAGCAAUUCCGGAGAAGAAGAAGAAGUGGAAUUGGACAAGGAGUUUAUUUAUAUUGUUGGGAUUCUUAUAUUGAUAGAGUUGAAGAAGUACAGAGACAAAUAAGCCAAGGCAAGCCAUCUUUUGAUCUCUGAUCCGGUGUCUAGUUGGAUGUCAUUUGUUGAUGUUCAAAGCACCUUCAUUCUAUGUGUGUUAUUAUCUCUAUUUAUGUCAUCUAUGUGUGUUUGCAAGUGGGGUACUCCCUAGUGGUGAUGCUCCAC